rnacentral:rRNA from 1 species
AACGAACGCUGGCGGCAUGCCUAACACAUGCAAGUCGAACGAGACCUUCGGGUCUAGUGGCGCACGGGUGCGUAACGCGUGGGAACCUGCCCUUAGGUUCGGAAUAACUCCCCGAAAGGGGUGCUAAUACCGGAUAAUGUCUUCGGACCAAAGAUUUAUCGCCUUUGGAUGGGCCCGCGUUGGAUUAGCUAGUUGGUAGGGUAAAAGCCUACCAAGGCGAUGAUCCAUAGCUGGUCUGAGAGGAUGAUCAGCCACACUGGGACUGAGACACGGCCCAGACUCCUACGGGAGGCAGCAGUGGGGAAUAUUGGACAAUGGGCGAAAGCCUGAUACAGCAAUGCCGCGUGAGUGAUGAAGGCCUUAGGGUUGUAAAGCUCUUUUACCCGGGAUGAUAAUGACAGUACCGGGAGAAUAAGCUCCGGCUAACUACGUG